rnacentral:rRNA from 1 species
GGUGUCCCAGUAGCAUCUGGUUUGUCCUGCCAGUAGUCAUACGCUCGUCUCAAAGAUUAAGCCAUGCAUGUGUAAGUAUAAAUAGUUAACUUUGAAACUGCGAAUGGCUCAUUAUAUCAGUUAUAGUUUAUUUGAUGAAGAAUACUAAUUGGAUAACCGUAGUAAUUCUAGAGCUAAUACAUGUAUAAAGUCUUGUAGACUGCAUUUAUUAGAAUGAAAACCAUAGGUUUCGGCCUAUUCGUGAGUAAUAAUAACUAAUCAUAUCGUAUGCUUAUGUAACGAUGUGUCUUUCAAGUUUCUGCCCUAUCAGCUUUCGAUGGUAGUGUAUUGGACUACCAUGGCAGUAACGGGUAACGAAGAAUUUGGGUUCGAUUUCGGAGAGGGAGCCUGAGAGAUGGCUACCACAUCCAAGGAAGGCAGCAGGCGCGUAAAUUACCCAAUCCUGACACAGGGAUAUAGGGACGAUCAAGCCCAUAGUGGAACACAGUGUUGCAAUUGUACCAGAACACAGGACAAACCCGAUCGAGUAGCAGCCCCGGGCAUGUUAGGUGGCAGCAGGCAUAGCAUGCGAUACCGCACUGCC